rnacentral:pre_miRNA from 1 species
AGUGGGAUAGCUGGGUCAAAUGGUGGUUCCAUUCCAAGUUUCUAAGGUAUCUCCAUAUUGCUUUCUAAAGUGGUUAUACCGUUUUGCAAUCCCACCAGUAAU